AAUAAUAAAUAUGGUGAUGAGUUGAUUUGGGGUGGUACUAUGUUUGAAGAUACGCAUAGUACGUUCCGAAUCAACUUGUUAACAAAUUUAAAUUC